UGACGCAGAUGCUAGUUUCUGAGAUUAAGCCAUGCAUGUUAACUGAAAGAAAUGGAAGGACGAACGGCUCAGUAAGACUGCGAUGAUUUGGUCUGUUUGUUGAAAUAACCAUUGGAAACGAUGGCUAAGAGAGCAGAAUAAGUUGCAGACCUAUCAGUUAGUUGGUAGUGUAAAGGACUACCAUGGCGAUGACGGGAAACGGGAAAUCAGGGUUUUAUUCCGGAGAGGGAGCCUGAGAGAUGGCUCCCACGUCCAAGGACGGCAGCAGGCGCGAAAAUUGCCCACUCAUUUGUGUGGAGGCAGUUAUGAAACGUGAAAGUAUCGACGGAGAUUAGAAAUCUCUGUUAAAGGAAUUGGAGGGCAAGUUUGGUGCCAGCAGCCGCGGUAAUACCGACUCCAAGAGUGUGUGUGAGAGAUGCUGCAAUUAAAAAGUCCGUAGUCGUGACAAGCUAAUGAAAUGGUGGUUCUAUAGACCAUCAGAAUUAGUUUAUGUGGUGGAACAGAUAGGGAAGAUAGUAUAUUCGGGCGAGAGAUGAAAUGUCAAGACCCCGAGUGGACUAAGCGAGGCGAAGGCGAUCUUCUUAGAUGGAUCUGCAGAUCAAGGACGAAGGUUGGAGGAUCGAAAGUGAU
rnacentral:rRNA from 1 species